rnacentral:rRNA from 1 species
GGACUACUCGGGUAUCUAAUCCCGUUUGCUCCCCUAGCUUUCGCGCCUCAGCGUCAGAAGAGGUCCAGCACGCCGCUUUCGCCACCGGCGUUCCUUCCGAUAUCUACGCAUUUCACCGCUCCACCGGAAGUUCCGCAUGCCCCUACCUCCCUCGAGGCCGCUGGUUUCCAAGGCACUUCUCCAGUUAAGCUGGAGGCUUUCACCCCAGACCUUGCGGCCCGCCUACGCGCCCUUUAAGCCCAGUGAUUCCGAACAACGUUCGCACGGUUCGUCUUACCGCGGCUGCUGGCAC